AUACGUAGGUUGCAAGCGUUGUCCGGGAUUUACUGGGUGUAAAGGGCGUGUAGGCGGAGAUGCAAGUUGGGAGUGAAAUCCCGGGGCUCAACCCCGGAACUGCUUUCAAAACUGUAUCCCUUGAGUAUCGGAGAGGCAAGCGGAAUUCCUAGUGUAGCGGUGAAAUGCGUAGAUAUUAGGAGGAACACCAGUGGCGAAGGCGGCUUGCUGGACGACAACUGACGCUGAGGCGCGAAAGCGUGGGGAGC
rnacentral:rRNA from 1 species